rnacentral:rRNA from 1 species
UUGAACGCUGGCGGCAGGCCUAACACAUGCAAGUCGAACGGUAACAGAAAGCAGCUUGCUGCUUUGCUGACGAGUGGCGGACGGGUGAGUAAUGUCUGGGAAACUGCCUGAUGGAGGGGGAUAACUACUGGAAACGGUAGCUAAUACCGCAUAACGUCGCAAGACCAAAGAGGGGGACCUUAGGGCCUCUUGCCAUCGGAUGUGCCCAGAUGGGAUUAGCUAGUAGGUGGGGUAACGGCUCACCUAGGCGACGAUCCCUAGCUGGUCUGAGAGGAUGACCAGCCACACUGGAACUGAGACACGGUCCAGACUCCUACGGGAGGCAGCAGUGGGGAAUAUUGCACAAUGGGCGCAAGCCUGAUGCAGCCAUGCCGCGUGUAUGAAGAAGGCCUUCGGGUUGUAAAGUACUUUCAGCGGGGAGGAAGGGAGUAAAGUUAAUACCUUUGCUCAUUGACGUUACCCGCAGAAGAAGCACCGGCUAACUCCGUGCCAGCAGCCGCGGUAAUACGGAGGGUGCAAGCGUUAAUCGGAAUUACUGGGCGUAAAGCGCACGCAGGCGGUUUGUUAAGUCAGAUGUGAAAUCCCCGGGCUCAACCUGGGAACUGCAUCUGAUACUGGCAAGCUUGAGUCUCGUAGAGGGGGGUAGAAUUCCAGGUGUAGCGGUGAAAUGCGUAGAGAUCUGGAGGAAUACCGGUGGCGAAGGCGGCCCCCUGGACGAAGACUGACGCUCAGGUGCGAAAGCGUGGGGAGCAAACAGGAUUAGAUACCCUGGUAGUCCAUGCCGUAAACGAUGAUUACUAGGUGUUGGAGGAUUGACCCCUUCAGUGCCGCAGUUAACACAAUAAGUAAUCCACCUGGGGAGUACGACCGCAAGGUUGAAACUCAAAGGAAUUGACGGGGGCCCGCACAAGCGGUGGAGCAUGUGGUUUAAUUCGAUGCAACGCGAAGAACCUUACCUGGUCUUGACAUCCACGGAAGUUUUCAGAGAUGAGAAUGUGCCUUCGGGAACCGUGAGACAGGUGCUGCAUGGCUGUCGUCAGCUCGUGUUGUGAAAUGUUGGGUUAAGUCCCGCAACGAGCGCAACCCUUAUCCUUUGUUGCCAGCGGUCCGGCCGGGAACUCAAAGGAGACUGCCAGUGAUAAACUGGAGGAAGGUGGGGAUGACGUCAAGUCAUCAUGGCCCUUACGACCAGGGCUACACACGUGCUACAAUGGCGCAUACAAAGAGAAGCGACCUCGCGAGAGCAAGCGGACCUCAUAAAGUGCGUCGUAGUCCGGAUUGGAGUCUGCAACUCGACUCCAUGAAGUCGGAAUCGCUAGUAAUCGUGGAUCAGAAUGCCACGGUGAAUACGUUCCCGGGCCUUGUACACACCGCCCGUCACACCAUGGGAGUGGGUUGCAAAAGAAGUAGGUAGCUUAACCUUCGGGAGGGCGCUUACCACUUUGUGAUUCAUGACUGGGGUG